UACGUAGGGGGCUAGCGUUGUCCGGAUUUAUUGGGCGUAAAGAGCGUGUAGGCGGCCAUGUAGGUCCGGUGUGAAAACUCGAGGCUUAACCUCGAGAUGUCAUCGGAAACCAUUUGGCUAGAGUCCGGAAGAGGAGAGUGGAAUUCCUGGUGUAGCGGUGAAAUGCGCAGAUAUCAGGAAGAACACCAAUGGCGAAAGCAGCUCUCUGGGACGGUGCUGACGCUGAGACGCGAAAGCGUGGGGAGCGAACAGG
rnacentral:rRNA from 1 species